GUUUGCACAAUUCAAACUCAAACAUGGCGAACAGCAACAGACAGAGCCGAGUGAGGAGCAGCGGCGCUAACAUUGAUACAAGUAAUCAUUUAAGUCUUAAGUAUACUCUCCUGUCUAUUCUGGCUCCACGAUGGUGGAGUGACCUUCCCGUGGAGGUCAGAACAGCUGAGACCCUGACCACCUUCAAGCGAUGACUGAAGACACCUCUUCAGGCUGCAUCUCUCCCCAUCCCUCCCUACCUCCCUGUAGUCUCUAAUUGGCUAUGUUAGCUUAGAGUUGUAGCUAGGUAAGCUGUUUAUCUUAGUUGACUUAGUUAUUGCACUCGUGCCUACUCAAUUAUUGCUUGUAUUAUUUGCAUAGACUGCUUUGUUUAUGAUUUUGUUUGUGUUGAUCAGAUUAACCGGCAGGGUCCAAGUUAAACUACGCGGUCGUUCCCUGCACUUGGUACUGUACUUCCCUCUAGGGUUUUCAACACACUUGUUCCUGGUUAUGGUUAUACACUUUGUGGUACGUCGCUCUGGAUAAGAGCGUCUGCCAAAUGCCUGUAAUGUAAUGUAUCUGGAUUUUUAAUGUUGCGCAUAAUUUGCCUUCUGAGGAUAAUAAAGAUGUACUGAAACUGAA